rnacentral:lncRNA from 1 species
GGAUAAGACAGGGAUGUGAUUGUACAUUGAGUCUCCAGGUCACUGGUUCUGGUUUUAUUGUUCUGUGUUUUUAUUUCACAGUAAAACCAUUAAAGGAUGAAGAAUUCAAUGUCCAGUACAGACCAGGCAGACAUGUAUCCAUCAUUCCUUCUCCUGCAGGUCAGUUCUGGGUUCUGACAUUGUAUGUGGGAAAUAAAGAGAUUCUAUUCAAGGGUUAUUUACCAUUAAAUUGUAUCAGAGGCAGGUGUAAGUCUCCUGGCGUGGCCUACCUUCUGCAGCUUGCUUGAACUUUAUUGGAAUAUUAUAUGAGAAGGACUAGGAAGUGAUUGAAACCACUCAGCCAAUCCUAGCCCACCCUGUGUUUUCCAAUCCAGCAAGGCUAUCUGGGAUAUGUAGUUUAGUGGUGGAGGUGGAGAGGAUUACAUGUGUGGCGAAACCAACCUCGCCACUGUGAACUGGAGAAGCCUGGUUGCUCGCCUGCUCCCUUUGGACUAUGGCCCUGCAGGUUAAACCAUUUAUUUUCCCUGCAGAAAGGCUUAUUCAUGUGAUCUGAGUGCCAUUCAUCUAAUAAUGUGUGCUCAGCUCAAAGCUAUCUGGGCAUGUGUAGAAAUGUGUGUUUUAUGUACUAAAUGUAUCAGUAUGUAAUUUUAUGUCUUUUACUGUCUUUUUGUCUGCCAUGUGGGUAAUGGAGUUUUGCCUCUGUCCUGGGAGAUAAUUAGAUUCCUUCCCCAAUUAUCUCCAGGCCAGGGAGGAGGGAUUGUGAUGCAUUGUGGGCUGUAACUGUUACUUGAUUGGUUAUUUUAUACCUCCCUGUGGGCGGUCCUGUAUGUGCAAGACUGUAAUAAAAACCAGGCUGGGUGUGCCAGCAGUGUUGUUCCUGUUUAACCCUCCAAGUGAAGUGUCGUCUCAUUCUUGGGGGGGAAUUUGACUGUAUGCCGAUUGCCAGGAGUGUAAGCUGUUCUUAGGGCUUUUCCUGUUCGGCUGCUUCCAGGGUUCGUGUGUUUCCUGUUAGGGAGUUGGGGAUUCGUACAGUUUGGAGUUUGGGAGAUUGGUGAUUGCAGUAGCUGCUGGUCUAUGGGAAAGGGGAUUAUCGCCUAAACGGUUUUUAUCCUCUUGUGAGAGAAACGGUCCGUUACAACAUGUACAUAAUCUGCUUCCUGAACACCCUGUGCAAGCUUUCCAGCGUGGCCUGGCUCGUGGUAGCCUCGAUCAUUCCUGUACAGCUUGCUAGAUCAUGCUUGGGAUAGUUUGAGGCAUCUCCCUGCUGCUCCGGGGGGAAGUUAUAAAAAUCUCAGACAUUAUUAGAUGGUUAUCAUCGGGUGGGUAGGUGGGUGUUGUGUUUUUUUUUUUUUUAAUAAUUAAAAGUAUAUUAUGUAAUAUGUUAAAAUAUUUAGGUUUUUAAAUUUUAAUUAAUGCUUAUUCAAUAUGCCAUGUUCAGUCCUCGGGUGUGGAAAGGAUUAGUGACGUUUAUUUUCUUUUUAGGUGAGUCUAACAUUUAUUUAUUUUGCAGGAAGAAGAUGGGGGAGAGAAAAACCGCUAGUGGUCGCAUUGUUGCAUAAUUGAAGAGAUUUGUGACCUAAGGUUCGUAUAGUGAUAUGGACAUUUUAGUGGCCUGAACCCCCUGUGCAAGCUUUCCAGCGUGGCCUGGCUCGUGGUAGCCUCGAUCAUUCCUGUACAGCUUGCUAGAUCAUGCUUGGGAUAGUUUGAGGCGUCUCCCUGCCGCUCCGGGGGGAAGUUAUGAAAAUCUCAGACAUUAUUAGAUGGUUAUCGUCGGGUGGGUAGGUGGUUGUUGUGUUUUUUUUUUUGUUUGUUUUUUUUUUAUAAUUAAAAGUAUAUUAUGUAAUAUGUUAAAAUAUUUAGGUUUUUAAAUUUUAAUUAAUGCUUAUUCAAUAUGCCAUGUUCAGUCCUCGGGUGUGGAAAGGAUUAGUGACGUUUAUUUUCUUUUUAGGUGAGUCUAACAUUUAUUUAUUUUGCAGGAAGAAGAUGGGGGAGAGAAAAACAGCUAGUGGUCGCAUUGUUGCAUAAUUGAAGAGAUUUGUGACCUAAGGUUCGUAUAGUGAUAUGGACAUUUUAGUGGCCUGAACCCCCUGUGCAAGCUUUCCAGCGUGGCCUGGCUCGUGGUAGCCUCGAUCAUUCCUGUACAGCUUGCUAGAUCAUGCUUGGGAUAGUUUGAGGCGUCUCCCUGCCGCUCCGGGGGGAAGUUAUGAAAAUCUCAGACAUUAUUAGAUGGUUAUCGUCGGGUGGGUAGGUGGUUGUUGUGUUUUUUUUUUUGUUUGUUUUUUUUUAUAAUUAAAAGUAUAUUAUGUAAUAUGUUAAAAUAUUUAGGUUUUUAAAUUUUAAUUAAUGCUUAUUCAAUAUGCCAUGUUCAGUCCUCGGGUGUGGAAAGGAUUAGUGACGUUUAUUUUCUUUUAGGUGAGUCUAACAUUUAUUUAUUUUGCAGGAAGAAGAUGGGGAGAGAAAAACAGCUAGUGGUCGCAUUGUUGCAUAAUUGAAGAGAUUUGUGACCUAAGGUUCGUAUAGUGAUAUGGACAUUUUAGUGGCCUGAACCCCCUGUGCAAGCUUUCCAGCGUGGCCUGGCUCGUGGUAGCCUCGAUCAUUCCUGUACAGCUUGCUAGAUCAUGCUUGGGAUAGUUUGAGGCGUCUCCCUGCCGCUCCGGGGGGAAGUUAUGAAAAUCUCAGACAUUAUUAGAUGGUUAUCGUCGGGUGGGUAGGUGGUUGUUGUGUUUUUUUUUGUUUUUUGUUUUUUAUAAUUAAAAGUAUAUUAUGUAAUAUGUUAAAAUAUUUAGGUUUUUAAAUUUUAAUUAAUGCUUCUUCAAUAUGCCAUGUUCAGUCCUCGGGUGUGGAAAGGAUUAGUGACGUUUAUUUUCUUUUAGGUGAGUCUAACAUUUAUUUAUUUUGCAGGAAGAAGAUGGGGGAGAGAAAAACAGCUAGUGGUCGCAUUGUUGCAUAAUUGAAGAGAUUUGUGACCUAAGGUUCGUAUAGUGAUAUGGACAUUUUAGUGGCCUGAACCCCCUGUGCAAGCUUUCCAGCGUGGCCUGGCUCGUGGUAGCCUCGAUCAUUCCUGUACAGCUUGCUAGAUCAUGCUUGGGAUAGUUUGAGGCGUCUCCCUGCCGCUCCGGGGGGAAGUCAUAAAAAUCUCAGACAUUAUUAGAUGGUUAUCGCACAGCAGCCUAUUGUGUGUAGGAAAUGUGAAUUAAAGGGUUACAUCACCAAAAAAAGUUUUUUAAUAUAGCCCGAGUGCCAGCCUGCUCACUGUAGGGGAGGGGGGGUGCCAGGCUCGUGGUAGCCUCGAUUAUUCCUGUACAGCUUGCUAGAUCAUGCUUGGGAUAGUUUGAGGUGUCUCCCUGCCGCUAAUAAAAUACUAAAUCAUUUUAAAAGAUUAUCCAAAAAGUUUAGAUCUCAGACAUCACCAGAGUGUUUUGUAUUAGUUAAAUCUAUGCUGUAGAGAUGUAGGUGCUUUAUUUAAUUAUUUGUAUUGUACAAAAUGCUUUCCAUUUUUGGGAUGGUUUUUCCCCUAUUGAAUUACCUUAGAAAAUCGCUGCUAUAAGAAAGGCCGUGUUGGUGUGAUUAACUGUGCUUUUUGCUGAUGUAACCAUAACAACUUUCAGUAGCUGGCCCCGAGUGAGCAUGCGCAGGCACGCAUCCAUUGGCAGACAGUGAAUGAAUGGCAAUACCGACAUCUGCGGAAUCUGGAUGUAGCUCGGCUACCAUUCUUGGUGUCUGCGCACCCACUGGAAAGCAGUUUCGUGGCAGUCUGUGCAGAAUAGUUUACCCCCAAGUAAUGGUUCAGUACUACAAGAACCUGUUGUGAUUUUGAUGCUUGUCGUAACCCUUUAAGAAUAAAAAGGUUACAAUCUUUGUGAGUUCAUUAGAUUUGCUCAGUAGUCCUUGGUUAAAACAGACUUAGUAUUAUUUAUCCUUUGUAUGUCCAGGUUUAUUUUAUUUAUUUUCUUUUUUCUGCUCAGUAACUGAUGUCUGUCUUCUCCUCCGUGGCAGUGAUGGGAGUGUGUCCAAAGAUCGUAGCCCUAAAAGUAACCUGAAGAAUAUCUACCUGUGGUGGAUCUAAUCACAGAACCUGCCUAGCGCCAUGGAACUGCCAUGGAGACUUCAUUAUAGAGUCCGCUGUAUGAAAUCAUGAUUCAUCAAUAAAAACAUAUUAAUACA